rnacentral:rRNA from 1 species
AACGGCGAGUGAAGCGGCAACAGCUCAAAUUUGAAAUCUGGUCCCAGCGGCCCGAGUUGUAAUUUGCAGAGGAAGCUUUGGGCGAGGCGCCCUUCCGAGUUCCCUGGAACGGGACGCCGUANAGGGUGAGAGCCCCGUACGGUCGGCCGCCGAGCCUCUGUAAAGGCUCCUUCGACGAGUCGAGUAGUUUGGGAAUGCUGCUCUAAAUGGGAGGUAAACCCCUUCUAAAGCUAAAUACCGGCCAGAGACCGAUAGCGCACAAGUAGAGUGAUCGAAAGCAUGAAAAGCACUUUGAAAAGAGAGUUAAACAGCACGUGAAAUUGUUGAAAGGGAAGCGCUUGUGGCCAGACUUGCGCCUGGCAGCUCAGCCGUCCUUCCAGGGCGGUGCAUUCUGCCGGCUCAGGCCAGCAUCAGUUCGCGGCGGGGGAGAAAGACGGCGGGAACGUGGCUCCUCGGAGUGUUAUAGCCCGCCGUCAUGCCCUGCCGUGGACUGAGGUUCGCGCUUCCGCAAGGAUGCUGGCGUAAUGGCCACCAGCGACCCGUCUUGAAACACGGACCAAGGAGUCGUCCUAAUAUGCGAGUGUUAGGGUGUGAAACCCCUGCGCGUAAUGAAAGUGAACGGAGGUGAGAGCUUCGGCGCAUCAUCGACCGAUCCUGAUGUUUUCGGAUGGAUUUGAGUAAGAGCAUAUUGGGCCGGACCCGAAAGAAAGUGAACUAUGCUUGGAUAGGGUCAAGCCAGAGGAAACUCUGGUGGAGGCUCGCAGCGGUUCUGACGUGCAAAUCGAUCGUCAAAUCUGAGCAUGGGGGCGAAAGACUAAUCGAACUUUCUAGUAGCUGGUUUCCGCCGAAGUUUCCCUCAGGAUAGCAGUGUUGAGCUCAGUUUUAUGAGGUAAAGCGAAUGAUUAGGGACUCGGGGGCGCUAUUUAGCCUUCAUCCAUUCUCAAACUUUAAAUAUGUAAGAAGCCCUCGUUCCUUCGGUGAACGUGGGCACUUGAAUGUAUCAACACUAGUGGGCCAUUUUUGGUAAGCAGAACUGGCGAUGCGGGAUGAACCGAACGCGAGGAUAAGGUGCCAGAGUAGACGCUCAUCAGACACCACAAAAGGUGUUAUCACAUCUUGACAGCAGGACGGUGGCCAUGGAAGUCGGAAUCCGCUAAGGACUGUGUAACAACUCACCUGCCGAAUGUGAUAGCCCUGAAAAUGGAUGGCAGCUCAAGCGUCUCACCCAUACCUCGCCUUCAGGGUAGACACGAUGCCCUGAAGAGUAGGC